rnacentral:rRNA from 1 species
GACGAACGCUGGCGGCGUGCCUAAUACAUGCAAGUCGAACGCAGUGGGGACGGGUGAGUAACACGUGGGUAACCUCCCAUCAGAGGGGAUAACACUUGGAAACAGGUGCUAAACCGAUACUGAUGGAUGGUCCCGGGGUGCAUUAGCUAGUUGGUGAGGUAUCGGCUCACCAGGGCCACGAUGCAUAGCCGACCUGAGAGGGUGUUCGGCACCACGGGGACGGAGACACGGCCCAGACUCCUCGGGGAGGCAGCAUUAGGAAAUCUUCGGCAAUGGACGAAAGUCUGACCGAGCAACGCCGGUGGAGUGAGAAAGGUUUUCGGACCGUAAACCUCUGUGUUUAGAGAAGCGGUAUCUAACCAGAAAGCCACGGCUAACUACGUGCCAGCAGCCGCGGUAAUAC